AAAAGUAAUAGAUAUAUGUCGUAUUAUAAACUUGAAUACAAGUUGGACAGUGGCCAGCUUCGAAUAUUUGAGAUUGACCUAUCUUUUAAAAUAUUUUGCUUUUAACUUUUUUUUAGCUUAAUAUGCUUGCUCAUACUUCUUCACAUAUCAAACGAGCUAUCAAAUUGAGCAGGUAGCACGUAUGACUCUUAUUUUAUGUAUCAACUCUUUCCAUCAAAUUAUCGCCAAGUCUCUCCCUUCUCUCUAGAAGUUUCAUAUUGACUCUCUACCAAAGUUUCAGCUUUUGAGCUUUUCUUUAAGCAAUCGUUGGACCUCUGGACCGUUACCACUCACCUCGCCAUUUUUUCCUUUUUUCUUCCUUUUUUCGACGAAAUAAUCUCAAGACUGCGUUCAAGCUUAGGCCGUCAGGGAAAGGCUGCGUAGGAUCUUGCUUGCCCCAUGAGUUUUCGUUCGUGGUUCGUUGGUUCUUAUCCCAUUGGUAUUUUGCUUUUGACAAUUUUUUUGUGAAGCUCUUUUGCUCUCACGAUGUUGUGAUGUUGACAUCUCUCUACAUCUCCAUUAGCUUGAACAUCGAUGGCAAGUUGAAGUCAUCGCACUCGGCCUCAACAAAACAACUCCUAGAGAAGACAAACAAACAGAAAGAAAUUGAUUCAGUAUCUUUUCAUAAACCAUAUAAACUUUUGAAACUUGUUUUCGGUGUAGACUUCAUCUCCAUCCUCGAUCAAUUUUCGCUUCAGUGAUAUCCUGACCAGCAGUUCCAUAAACAAGGUCCUAUUGCCGAUUUGUCCCUAUUCGUAUUCUGAGCUUUCUUGAUUACCGUCAAGGAAUUCCCCUCAAUCUUGACUUACUUCAUCCCCAAAUCUCUACCCACAGUAACUGCCUGUAGACAUGCGGUAGCCUCAGCUGCAAAACCUGAAGGAUUUGUUUUCCUUGACAUUAAAAGCAGCAUCAGAAUUUAUUUUAAAGAAACCUUGCUUCGGAGGUCUCCAUCUGCCAGAUUCUGGUCUCAAG